rnacentral:rRNA from 1 species
UACGUAGGGUGCAAGCGUUGUCCGGAAUUAUUGGGCGUAAAGAGCUCGUAGGCGGCUUGUCGCGUCGGCUGUGAAAUCCCGUGGCUCAACUGCGGGUCUGCAGCCGAUACGGGCAGGCUAGAGUUCGGUAGGGGAGACUGAAUUCCUGGUGUAGCGGUGAAAUGCGCAGAUAUCAGGAGGAACACCGAUGGCGAAGGCAGGUCUCUGGGCCGAUACUGACGCUGAGAAGCGAAAGCAUGGGGAGCGAACAGG